UACGGGGGGGGCAAGCGUUGUUCGGAAUUACUGGGCGUAAAGGGCUCGUAGGCGGCCAACUAAGUCAGACGUGAAAUCCCUCGGCUUAACCGGGGAACUGCGUCUGAUACUGGAUGGCUUGAGUGUGGGAGAGGGGUGCGGAAUUCCAGGUGUAGCGGUGAAAUGCGUAGAUAUCUGGAGGAACACCGGUGGCGAAGGCGGCAUCCUGGACCACGACUGACGCUGAGGAGCGAAAGCCAGGGGAGCAAACGGG
rnacentral:rRNA from 1 species